AUACGUAGGUGGCGAGCGUUGUCCGGAAUUACUGGGUGUAAAGGGCGUGUAGGCGGGAAUGCAAGUUGGAUGUGAAAUUCCAGGGCUCAACUCUGGGGGUGCAUCCAAAACUGUGUUUCUUGAGUACUGGAGAGGAAAGCGGAAUUCCUAGUGUAGCGGUGAAAUGCAUAGAUAUUAGGAGGAACACCAGUGGCGAAGGCGGCUUUCUGGACAGAAACUGACGCUGAGGCGCGAAAGCACGGGGAGCAAACAGGAUUAGAUACCCUGGUAGUCCGUGCCGUAAACGAUGGAUACUAGGUGUAGGGGGUAUUAAUAUCUUCUGUGCCGCAGUUAACACAUUAAGUAUCCCACCUGGGGAGUACGGCCGCAAGGCUGAA
rnacentral:rRNA from 1 species